rnacentral:rRNA from 1 species
GGGAAAUCUUACCGGGUCCGGACGUGCUGAGGAUUGACAGGUUUUGCGUCAUUUCACUUUGGUUUCUUUCACGAGAGGCUUUAGUGGGUGGCACUUAAAGAUGCUAGUCCUUUCAUGAUUGUGCGAUAGGUGGUGCAUGGCCGUUCUUAGUUCGUGGAGUGAUCUGUCUGCUUAAUUGCGUUUCGCAAAAGGUCAUCACUAACGCUUUCUGAGCACCUAACGUUCAGCGUUCACCUCUUUCGCUGCCGUUUGUUUGGUCAUUUUACUGUUGCCUUUGCCUUCUCUACGCUCUGCUGUGGCACAGCCUGGCGCCUUGGCCACUCCUCUAUCUUUUCCCUCUCUCUCCGGAGGGGGGGAGCUGAUGGAGCUUGAGAGGUUUUGGUGUUGGGCGCACCGCGCAGGGUUGAAGGUCUCAAGGGUGAUGGGAGAUCUCUUUCGGUGGUUGAGGUUUGAAUGCCGUUGGGUUACUUUUCAAGUCUCAGUAUAGCGUGUUGACCUUGAAAGCAACGA